UUUUUUUUAACGUUAAAAUGUACAGUUUUUUUUCUGAAAGCACUUACUAGAAAGGAGGGAGAGGGGGGGGAACCGGGGACUUGGGGUGAAAGUCUUAUUACAUACAAACCAGACGGGGCCGUUCAAACCCCACAACGUCAAGAAAAGGCCGGAGGAAAGGAAAAUAAAAAAAUAAUAAUAAUAAUAAUCAUAAUAAUAAUAAUACAAUUACAAUAUGAGGCAGGAGGAGAAACCCAUUUAAGAAACAGCUGUUAUUAAAACCCUAGAAAUGUAGAGGAGAAGAGACACGAGUCUUAUGGACUGACUGCCUUCCGUAAAGAGUGCUAUCCAGCAGGGAGUCACAGUGUCGAGAAGUCACGGGAACGGAGAGCACUAGUAUGCACGGGUGGAGGACGAAUGCGUCACGGUGCCACACCACAGACGACCAUCUCAUGACUGCUGCAUCCUUGACUCUAUAAAUACUGCUCCUUGUAGAACUUAUGUACAAACCGAUUGUGCCAAGGCGACCUCAUCCUAUGGUCGGGCACAAGUACUACUUCCUGCGGGCCGUCAGCUGGACACCAUAACCAUGCGUAUAAGGAGAUCAGUGGCUGCUAGAUACAUUUGAAGACACUUAUCUCCCAGGAACUAAAACAAAAAAGUUGACAUUUAGUAUGCCUGAUCUUACGUUUAGUUGGUGGAUCCUGCUGGCACUGGUGGGCUCCACCAAAACGCAUUGAAUGGGUAUCAGCUAGGCUAGGGAAUGCCCUCACUUUUUGAUGGUGCGGUCUGACAACAGACAACCCCACAGCCCCCUCAGAACAAAGGGUCCACAAAGGAAUUCUGCAGGUGACCGAAGGGUGUCCCACAGGCUGGACCCUCACUGAUCAUGAAGUGAUGGCAUAUCCUAGCCCCAAUAUGAUGGCACUACUUCCUUUAUGCUGGUGAUCUUUGCUGCCCAUUGAAUCCACUGGCAAUCUAACAUCUAUGGUGAGGGUAGCAAAUCCUACUUCAAAAGACUGGCUGCAGGGAAAAGUAAGGACCCCCCAUAUAACCGAUUCCCUGGAGAUAAGCGGCACGUGUUACUCCAUGCAAGUUAGACUGAAACUGAAAGAGCAUAUCAGAAGUGAAAACACCAUCCUGCGUCCAUGACCAUCCUAAUAGUCACAAAGGCAAAUGCCAAACGAUUGGAUGGCAAAUUUGGCCAAUAACCUCCUCCAACCAAAGAUUGGCAGAAAUACCGCAGCGCGACCCAUUAUGCUGGCGCGCACAGAUAAAAUGUAUCAUUGUUUUUACAUUUCAGCUGCCAUGUAAUACCUGUGGCGCCAAUGUUACCCGGUCUUUACCACCAGUCUUAGUGCUUUUUCCCCGUCGAACCAGAAAAGUGACUGAGGUCUCUGUCUAUGUCUUGAUCUUCGCGCAGGCAAAAGAAAAACUGAACAAUUUUUGAAAACGUGAUCGUAUUUUUAUGUAUUCCUACAUAAGCCUGACGCAUCUAAGACGGCAUGCCAGGGAUGAGAAUGAGAGGGGGGGUAAAGAGAACAGAAGCGGAGGAGAUGAGGAUUACAGUGGGAACAUAAAGCGUCUGUAUGGAGGCACUGGUCGUGUGAGGACGUGGGUUCGGCCGGCCGCUGUCACGUCACAUCUGCGGGCGUUACAGGGGGCAGGCACACAUUAUGGCUAUGACAAGGCACAAAUCAGCACCGAUGUCAACAGCAUCGCCAUACUACAUAGUAAUAAUCCCUCCUCCCUUUAUCCUAUAUGGGAAAGGGAGAUGGAUUAAAAUGUGAACCUUGCCCUUUGAAAAGAAACCGGCUCGAGAAAACAGUGACAAUAUAUAAAUCACAAUAUAUACAUGAAGGGGAGGGUCUCGCAUCUAAACGAUGGGAAGAAGAAAGAAAAUUAUAUAAAAAGUAUGAAAAAAUAGUUUCUACCAUUUCACACUAAGGUUAUCUCUGUAGUGAUCAACUUCCACCACGGUACACGAGGGCGUGCAUGAACGGAAUGACAUAGUAUCAGAGACUGAACAGCAUCUAUGGAUCAAGGAACCACCAAACUGUACACCCAACCUAAAAUCGUUCAAAAAAAAUUAUUUGCCGAUAUCUUAAUGGUGGCCACAGCUUCAAAAACCCCUGCAUAGAUAUAGCUGUGAAUGACAAACCCCAUGAUGCCUGCAGUCACCACUAGAAGUAGCUUGUGAGCUCCACCUAGUGGUGACGGCAGGCAGAAUUUUAUCACUGAAUUUCUGACAGAGCUCCAAAUCAAUCCUCUGCAUAGACAAACUGCGCUCUGGCCACCAUAAAGAUAUAUUAAGCACAGGGUUUUGUACCUGAACACGAUGCGAUUAGCGCUGGCGGUAAGAGACAAAUGGGAGGGGGGGGGGGGGGUGACGGAUGUGGCGAUUCUGGUGUCAACUCCUCAAGUUACACGGGCAGUCAAAUGAAAAUUGGUCUGAUAACAAUAGACAAAUUUUUCCUAUGCAUCUGCGGCAAUAAGUGCUUAUUAUAGGGAUGAGAGGUAAAUGAGCCCAAGUGGUACACAAAAGAGGGGGAUUAGGCCAACAGAGGGUAUACUGAAAAGUGUACAAGCUAUACGGUGUAGCAGGUGUGUGGCACCGAGCAACUCCUUAUGCUACGUACCAUAGCUUGUAUAUGGCUCAAUGGCCUCCUCUAUCUGUACUCUACCAUGGCAGGAGACAAGGAAUCUCAAUAUUUCCGCUCAAUACCCCCUUUAUCAGCUCCAAAAAAAAAAACCUCCCUUCAACCCUCAUCCUAGAGACUGGAAAUUAAUGCAAAAAAAACAAAAACAAAAAAAAA